rnacentral:rRNA from 1 species
CAUAGCGAACUGCUCAGUAACACAUGAUCAACUUGCCCUAUAGAGAAAUAUAACCUCGGGAAACUGAGGAUAAUAUUUCAUAGUUGAAUAGGCUUGGAAAAGUUCUUCAAUCAAAGGGAUAAAAAAAAUGGUUUUUAUCUGCUAUAGGAUAGGAUCGUGGACGAUUAUGGUUGUUGGUGAGGUAACGGCUCACCAAGCCGAUAAUCGAUAGGGGCCGUGAGAGCGGGAGCCCCGAGAUGGGUACUGAGACAACGACCCAGGCCUUACGAGGCGCAGCAGGCGCGGAACCUCCGCAAUACACGAAAGUGUGACGGGGUUACCCAAAGUGUUCAAUUUUGAACUGUGGUAGGUGAGUAAUGUUCCCUACUAGAAAGGAGAGGGCAAGGCUGGUGCCAGCCGCCGCGGUAAAACCAGCUCUUCAAGUGGUCGGGAUAAUUAUUGGGCUUAAAGUGUCCGUAGCCGGUUUAGUAAGUUCCUGGUAAAAUCGGGUAGCUUAACUAUCUGUAUGCUAGGAAUACUGCUAUACUAGAGGGCGGGAGAGGUCUGAGGUACUACAGGGGUAGGGGUGAAAUCUUAUAAUCCUUGUAGGACCACCAGUGGCGAAGGCGUCAGACUGGAACGCGCCUGACGGUGAGGGACGAAAGCCAGGGGAGCGAACCGGAUUAGAUACCCGGGUAGUCCUGGCCGUAAACGAUGCAUACUAGGUGAUGGUAUGGCCAUGAGCCAUAUCAGUGCCGUAGGGAAACCGUUAAGUGUGCCGCCUGGGAAG